rnacentral:rRNA from 1 species
AUACGGAGGUAGCGAGCGUUAAUCGGAAUUACUGGGCGUAAAGCGCGCGUAGGCGGCUUUGUAAGUCGGAUGUGAAAGCCCUGGGCUCAACCUGGGAAUGGCAUUCGAUACUGCAGAGCUAGAGUAUGGUAGAGGGAAGUGGAAUUUCCGGUGUAGCGGUGAAAUGCGUAGAUAUCGGAAGGAACACCAGUGGCGAAGGCGACUUCCUGGGCCAAUACUGACGCUGAGGUGCGAAAGCGUGGGGAGCAAACAGGAUUAGAAACCCCUGUAGUCC